UACGGAGGGGGCUAGCGUUGUUCGGAAUUACUGGGCGUAAAGCGCACGUAGGCGGCUUUGUAAGUUAGAGGUGAAAGCCCAGGGCUUAACUCUGGAAUUGCCUUUAAGACUGCAUCGCUAGAAUCGUGGAGAGGUGAGUGGAAUUCCGAGUGUAGAGGUGAAAUUCGUAGAUAUUCGGAAGAACACCAGUGGCGAAGGCGGCCCGCUGGGCAGUGGCUGACGCUGAGGCGCGACAGCGUGGGGAGCAAACAGG
rnacentral:rRNA from 1 species